rnacentral:rRNA from 1 species
AGCCAUGCGAGUCAUUGUAGCAAUACAAGGCGGACGGCUCAGUAACACGUAGUCAACCUAACUCGUGGACGUGGAUAACCUCGGGAAACUGAGAAUAAACCACGAUAGAUCAUAAUGCCUGGAAUGGCUUAUGGUCCAAACAGUUUACUGCCAUGGGAUGGGACUGCGGCCUAUCAGCUUGUUGGUGAGGUAAUGGCCCACCAAGGCGAUUACAGGUACGGGCUCUGAGAGGAGAAGCCCGGAGAUGGGUACUGAGACACGGACCCAGGCCCUAUGGGGCGCAGCAGGCGAGAAACCUUAGCAAUGUGCGAAAGCACGACUGGGUCAGUCCGAGUGAUUCCUGAUAAAGGAGUCUUUUGCUUGUCCUAAAAGCACAGGUGAAUAAGGGGUGGGCAAGUCUGGUGUCAGCCGCCGCGGUAAUACCAGCACCUCGAGUGGUCAGGGACGUUUAUUGGGCUUAAAGCUUCCUGACCCGGCUCUGGAAGGCUUCGGUAAAUCCCCCUGUUCAAAAAAGGGCGGCGGGA